rnacentral:rRNA from 1 species
CCUACGGGUGGCAGCAGUGAGGAAUAUUGGUCAAUGGGCGCGAGCCUGAACCAGCCAAGUAGCGUGAAGGAUGACUGCCCUACGGGUUGUAAACUUCUUUUAUAAAGGAAUAAAGUGAGGCACGUGUGCCUUUUUGUAUGUACUUUAUGAAUAAGGAUCGGCUAACUGCGUGCCAGCAGCCGUGGUAAUAAGGAGGAUCCGAGCGUUAUCCGGAUUGAUUGGGUUUAAAGGGAGCGUAGAUGGGUUGUUAAGUCAGUUGUGAAAGUUUGCGGCUCAACCGUAAAAUUGCAAUUGAUACUGGCAGACUUGAGUACAGUUGAGGUAGGCGGAAUUCGUGGUGUAGCAGUGAAAUGCUUAGAUAUCACGAAGAACUCCGAUUGCGAAGGCAGCUUACUAAACUGCCACUGACAUUGAUGCACGAAAGUGUGGGUAUCGAACGGGAUUAGAUACCCCGGUAGUC